AUUGAACGCUGGCGGCAGGCCUAACACAUGCAAGUCGAACGAGUGGCGGACGGGUGAGUAAUGUCUGGGAAACUGCCCGAUAGAGGGGGAUAACUACUGGAAACGGUAGCUAAUACCGCAUACUAUCGGAUUGACCCCAAUGGGAUUAGCUAGUAGGUGGGGUAAUGGCUCACCUAGGCGACGAUCCCUAGCUGGUCUGAGAGGAUGAUCAGCCACACUGGGACUGAGACACGGUCCAGAAUCCUACGGGCGGCAGCAGUGGGGAAUAUUGCACAAUGGGCGCAAGCCUGAUGCAGCCAUGCCGCGUGUAUGAAGAAGGCCGUCGGGUUGUAAAGUACUUUCAGUGGGGAGGCGUUACUCGCAGAAGAAGCACCGGCUAACUCCGUGCCAGCAGCCGCGGUAAUGC
rnacentral:rRNA from 1 species